rnacentral:rRNA from 1 species
AUUGAACGCUGGCGGCAGGCCUAACACAUGCAAGUCGAGCGGGGUUUUCGGACCUAGCGGCGGACGGGUGAGUAAUGCGUAGGAAGCUGCCCGACAGAGGGGGAUACCAGUUGGAAACGACUGUUAAUACCGCAUAAUGUCUACGGACCAAAGUGUGGGACCUUCGGGCCACAUGCUAUCGGAUGCGCCUACGUGGGAUUAGCUAGUGGGUGAGGUAAGGGCUCACAAAGGCGACGAUCUCUAGCUGGUUGAGAGGAUGAUCAGCCACACUGGAACUGAGAAACGGUCCAGACUCCUACGGGAGGCAGCAGUGGGGAAUAUUGGACAAUGGGCGCAAGCCUGAUCCAGCCAUGCCGCGUGGGUGAAGAAGGCCUUCGGGUUGUAAAGCACUUUCAGCGAGGAGGAAGGGUGGUGUGUUAAUAGCACAUCAUUUUGACGUUACUCGCAGAAGAAGCACCGGCUAACUCUGUGCCAGCAGCCGCCGUAACAC